GACGAACGCUGGCGGCGUGCCUAAUACAUGCAAGUCGAACGCUGAAGGAGGAGCUUGCUUCUCUGGAUGAGUUGCGAACGGGUGAGUAACGCGUAGGUAACCUGCCUGGUAGCGGGGGAUAACUAUUGGAAACGAUAGCUAAUACCGCAUAAGAGUAGAUGUUGCAUGACAUUUGCUUAAAAGGUGCAAUUGCAUCACUACCAGAUGGACCUGCGUUGUAUUAGCUAGUUGGUGAGGUAACGGCUCACCAAGGCAACGAUACAUAGCCGACCUGAGAGGGUGAUCGGCCACACUGGGACUGAGACACGGCCCAGACUCCUACGGGAGGCAGCAGUAGGGAAUCUUCGGCAAUGGACGGAAGUCUGACCGAGCAACGCCGCGUGAGUGAAGAAGGUUUUCGGAUCGUAAAGCUCUGUUGUAAGAGAAGAACGUGUGUGAGAGUGGAAAGUUCACACUGUGACGGUAUCUUACCAGAAAGGGACGGCUAACUACGU
rnacentral:rRNA from 1 species